rnacentral:lncRNA from 1 species
AUUUUAGAAAUGUAAUAUUUUUAGACCAUAAAGCUACAGUGCUAAUAUUUAUGGCUGUCUUAAUUUCUUUAUUUUUUUAACACUUCACUCUGAAAAAGUAAAUUUAAUUUCUUUGCAUAUUGCAAUUUCGGUUUUAGUUCAGUUCAUCGUGCAGCUCUACCUCCUUGGUUUGAUUUGAGAAUAUUAUACAAUAUCCUUCACUGUUCUGGAUGAGGUCGAAGCAUCACUGCAGGUUUAUCUUCUCGGCGUAGUUCACAAACGUCUGUCUUCAGCAUGCCAGUCUCUGACAUAUCUUUACUCAAAGCAUGCACUUGCCUAAUCAAACAGAAUUACAGUAGGAAAAUAUUGACUUUUGUAAGCAAAGACAUGAUUAACAUGUUAACUUCUCAAGCUCUUUGGCACCUCUCUGAAUUUGAGUUCCUCUCUAAAUUUCUCCUCACUAGGUAUAAGUGAUGUCUGUAGUAACCCUGCCCUGAAGGAUGCCAACCCUCCAGAGGAGUGCAAACAGCAGUGAUGGCAGCGCCACCUCCUUCAGGAUCCCCUACACUACAACAGCUGUGGAAAGACGGUCCGGUUUACAGGAGAAGCGUCCGGAGAGAUUCAUUCGGUUAACCUUCCACGAAAACGUUGGCUGUUUUAGGUUGGGAGGAUGUUUAAAGCUUGGUGGAGACUGA